rnacentral:rRNA from 1 species
UACGUAGGGUGCUAGCGUUGCUCGGAAUCACUGGGCUUAAAGGGUGCGUAGGCGGGUCUUUAAGUCAGGGGUGAAAUCCUGGAGCUCAACUCCAGAACUGCCUUUGAUACUGAAGAUCUUGAGUUCGGGAGAGGUGAGUGGAACUGCGAGUGUAGAGGUGAAAUUCGUAGAUAUUCGCAAGAACACCAGUGGCGAAGGCGGCUCACUGGCCCGAUACUGACGCUGAGGCACGAAAGCGUGGGGAGCAAACAGG